GCCCGGGUGGUGAAAUUGGUAGACGCAGGGGACUCAAAAUCCCCCGCCGCAAGGCGUGCCGGUUCGAUUCCGGCCUCCGGCACCA
rnacentral:tRNA from 1 species